rnacentral:rRNA from 1 species
UCGAGCGGGGGAAGGUAGCUUGCUACUGGACCUAGCGGCGGACGGGUGAGUAAUGCUUAGGAAUCUGCCUAUUAGUGGGGGACAACAUCUCGAAAGGGAUGCUAAUACCGCAUACGUCCUACGGGAGAAAGCAGGGGAUCUUCGGACCUUGCGCUAAUAGAUGAGCCUAAGUCGGAUUAGCUAGUUGGUGGGGUAAAGGCCUACCAAGGCGACGAUCUGUAGCGGGUCUGAGAGGAUGAUCCGCCACACUGGGACUGAGACACGGCCCAGACUCCUACGGGAGGCAGCAGUGGGGAAUAUUGGACAAUGGGGGGAACCCUGAUCCAGCCAUGCCGCGUGUGUGAAGAAGGCCUUAUGGUUGUAAAGCACUUUAAGCGAGGAGGAGGCUACUUUAGUUAAUACCUAGAGAUAGUGGACGUUACUCGCAGAAUAAGCACCGGCUAACUCUGUGCCAGCAGCCGCGGUAAU